UUCGCAACAUUUAAGACUGUAAC
rnacentral:snRNA from 1 species